GUAACAGUGUGAGUAUUUUUAAUUAAUAUCUGUUCGAUGCUUAUUCAGGCCUGCAGCCUAUGGACGGCCUCUACUGUUGAUCAACACCUUAAAGCCACAUGUUAAAGAGUGCGCUUUUGCCAAGGAGUCGAAUAAUUGAGUUUUAUGAGAGAGAGAGAGAGAGAGAGAGAGAGAGAGAGA